UUUCUUGAGAGUUCAGAAAUUUCAGGGCUGAAGGUGAGAUAUCAGAAUCUGAAAAUCAGCAGUGGCAGACAGGUAAUCGGAGAAAGCGGUGAUGACGACGGUGACCAACUUGUCGUUGACUAUUCUCCAUGGUGCUGUUAUCAUUACCAUGGACGAUGAUAGCCGAGUGUUUCGGGACGGAGGCAUCGCCAUUGAAGGACACCAAAUUAAAGCCAUUGGCCAGUCUUCCCAGAUUCUCCAUCAAUUUUCUGCUUUCGCCACCCAAAUUAUUGAUCUCCACGGCCACAUUUUACUUCCUGGAUUCAUUAACACGCACGUUCACACUUCUCAGCAAUUAGGUAGAGGUAUAGCUGAUGAUGUUGAUUUAAUCACCUGGUUGCAUGGUCGCAUUUGGCCAUAUGAAUCCAAUAUGACUGAAGAGGAUUCUUACAUUUCCACUUUACUGUGUGGAAUCGAACUCAUUCACUCUGGUGUUACUUGCUUUGCUGAAGCUGGAGGACAACAUGUUUCUGGGAUGGCUAGAGCAGUGAAACUCCUGGGCUUACGUGCGUGUUUGACCCAGUCAACCAUGGACGCUGGUGAGGGUUUGCCAUCAUCUUGGGCAGCUCGAACUACUGAUGAUUGUAUUCAGUCUCAGAAGGAGAAUUAUGAGAAGCAUAAUAAUACAGCUGAUGGCCGCAUCAGAGUGUGGUUUGGGAUAAGGCAAAUCAUGAAUUCUACUGAACGCUUGCUUCUUGAGACAAGGGAUGCUGCAAGAGACCUGAAAACAGGGAUACACUUGCAUGUUGCAGAGAUACCAUAUGAGAAUCAACUAGUCAUGGAUGUUCACAAAGUAAAUCAUGGAACUGUUACAUACUUGGAGAAGAUAGGUUUCCUGCAAAACAAUCUGUUAUCAGCUCAUACUGUCUGGGUUGAUGAUAGUGAGAUAUCUUUCCUCUCAAGGGCAGGGGUCAAAGUGUCUCACUGUCCUGCUGCUGCAAUGCGAAUGCUUGGAUUUGCACCUGUAAAGGAGAUGCUUGAUGCUGGCAUCUGUGUCUCCUUGGGAACUGACGGGGCACCAUCAAACAAUCGAAUGAGCAUUGUUGAUGAGAUGUACAUAGCCUCUCUGAUUAAUAAAGGACGGGAAGUUUAUGCAAAGGGAACUACAGAUCCAACAGCAUUGCCUGCUGAAACUGUUCUAAGAAUGGUCACAAUCAAUGGUGCAAAGUCAGUAUUAUGGGACAAUGAACUAGGGUCACUUGAAGUUGGUAAGAAGGCUGACAUUGUGGUAAUCAAUCCUUCAUCAUGGCCUAUGGUUCCUGUUCAUGACUGCUUCAACUAUAAUGCAGCAUAUCAAACCUCGUGUAUUGCAUGAGAACGGAAAAUGUGGUUGCUGUCAUGUGCAAUGGUGUAUGGAUAAUGAAGGACAGGAAAAUUCAAACUCUAGAUGAGGAAGAAGUUAUUUCGAAGGCAGAAGAGGCUUCUUGUGAGCUGUUAAAGAGGGCGGGCAUAAGAUUACAGAGUAGAAUGAACUUCAUAUAGAUUGUGUCGUUUGGCGCAGUCAGAGAAUUGUCCGCUUUGUGAAAUUUUUAAAAUUGCACGCAACAGACUGAGAACAGUAAGUCUGAAAUGUUUUGGUAUUUUAAUUUAUAAAUAAUGCUAAUGACUAAUAAUACAAGUGUAAUGUAGGCAUGUUAGCCAAUAUACAUGAGGUGUGAGAGGCUCCGUUGGUUGCU